rnacentral:rRNA from 1 species
UACGUAGGCAGCGAGCGUUGUUCGGAGUUACUGGGCGUAAAGCGUGCGUAGGCGGUGUCUUAAGUUUGUUGUGAAAUCUCCCGGCUUAACCGGGAGGGUGCGGCGAAUACUGAGAUGCUGGAGUGCCGGAGAGGUAAGCGGAAUUCCUGGUGUAGCGGUGAAAGUGCGUAGAGUAUCAGGAGGAACACCUGCGGUGUAGACGGCUUACUGGACGGUAACUGACGCUGAGGCACGAAAGCGUGGGGAGCAACAGG